GUGGUAGCCUGCGAAAAGCGUCGGUGAGGUGGCAAACAACCGUUAUCAGCCGGCGAUGUCCGAAUGGGGAAACCCACCGCUUUUGCGGUAUCCGUAUCUGAAUCCAUAGGAUGCGGAGGCGAACCCGGGGAACUGAAACAUCUAAGUACCCGGAGGAAAAGAAAUCAACCGAGAUUCCCUUAGUAGCGGCGAGCGAACGGGGACCAGCCCUUAAGCUUGCGUGCGGUUAGUGGAAGGCUCUGGAAAGUGCCGCGAUACAGGGUGACAGCCCCGUACACGAAAGCCAAUCGCAAGUGAAAUCGAGUAGGUCGGGACACGUGUUAUCUUGACUGAAGAUGGGGGGACCAUCCUCCAAGGCUAAAUACUCCCAGUUGACCGAUAGUGAACCAGUACCGUGAGGGAAAGGCGAAAAGAACCCCGGAGAGGGGAGUGAAACAGAUCCUGAAACCGUGUGCGUACAAGCAGUGGGAGCACCUUCGGGUGUGACUGCGUACCUUUUGUAUAAUGGGUCAGCGACUUACGUUUGAUGGCGAGGUUAACCGAAUAGGGGAGCCGUAGGGAAACCGAGUCUUAACAGGGCGCUUAGUCGUCAGGCGUAGACCCGAAACCGGGCGAUCUAUCCAUGGGCAGGGUGAAGGUUGAGUAACAUCAACUGGAGGCCCGAACCCACUGUCGUUGAAAAGCCAGGGGAUGACCUGUGGAUAGGAGUGAAAGGCUAAUCAAGCCCGGAGAUAGCUGGUUCUCCCCGAAAGCUAUUUAGGUAGCGCCUCGGAUGGACACCUGCGGGGGUAGAGCACUGUUUGGGCUAGGGGGUCAUCCCGACUUACCAACCCCAUGCAAACUCCGAAUACCGUAGAGUGAUAUCCGGGAGACACACGGCGGGUGCUAACGUCCGUCGUGGAGAGGGAAACAACCCAGACCGCCAGCUAAGGUCCCCAAGUUCCAGUUAAGUGGGAAACGAUGUGGGAAGGCUAAGACAGCUAGGAGGUUGGCUUAGAAGCAGCCACCCUUUAAAGAAAGCGUAAUAGCUCACUAGUCGAGUCGGCCUGCGCGGAAGAUGUAACGGGGCUCAAACUGGACACCGAAGCUGCGGCUGCAUCUUAUGAUGCGGGGUAGGGGAGCGUUCUGUAAGCCGUUGAAGGUGUGUCGGAAGGCAUGCUGGAGGUAUCAGAAGUGCGAAUGCUGACAUGAGUAACGAUAAAGGGGGUGAAAAACCUCCUCGCCGGAAGACCAAGGGUUCCUGCGCAACGCUAAUCGGCGCAGGGUGAGUCGGCCCCUAAGGCGAGACCGAAAGGUGUAGUCGAUGGGAAAU
rnacentral:rRNA from 1 species